GCGUGACUGGCGCAAUGGAUAGCAUAAUAUGCUAUUAUCAGACUUCGAAUCUGAAGGUUGCGGGUUCGAGUCUUGCGUCGCGUA